rnacentral:rRNA from 1 species
UACGUAGGGUGCGAGCGUUGUCCGGAAUUAUUGGGCGUAAGGAGCUUGUAGGCGGUUUGUCGCGUCUGCCGUGAAAAUCCGGGGCUCAACCCCGGACUUGCGGUGGGUACGGGCAGACUAGAGUGUGGUAGGGGAGACUGGAAUUCCUGGUGUAGCGGUGAAAUGCGCAGAUAUCAGGAGGAACACCGAUGGCGAAGGCAGGUCUCUGGGCCACUACUGACGCUGAGAAGCGAAAGCGUGGGGAGCGAACAGG